UAGCGUAAUCACUUGUCCUCUAAAUAGGGACUUGUAUGAACGGCUAACUGAGGGCCUGCCUGUUUCCUGCGGCCAAUCAAUGAACUUGAUCUUUCAGUACAAAAGCUGAAAUUAACACACAAGACGAGAAGACCCUGUGGAGCUUAAAAUAACCUGCUACGCCCCCUAAUAGCAGACAUUUUCGGUUGGGGCGACCACGGAACAAAACAAAACUUCCACGACCGGACCAGCCCUCCUGCACCGGCACCCACGCCAACGCAACAAAACCCCGAUCCAGUCAAACUGAACACCGGACCAAGUUACCCCAGGGAUAACAGCGCAAUCCUCCCCAAGAGCCCAUAUCGCCAGGAGGGUUUACGACCUCGAUGUUGGAUCAGGACCCCCAAGUGGUGCAGCCGCUACUAAUGGUUCGUUUGUUCAACGAUUAA
rnacentral:rRNA from 1 species